GACAGAGGGUGCAAACGUUGUUCGGAAUUACUGGGCGUAAAGCGUGUGUAGGCGGCCAUGUAAGUUGGAUGUGAAAGCCCCGGGCUCAACCCGGGAAGUGCAUUCAAAACUGCGUGGCUUGAGUACUGGAGAGGUUGGUAGAAUUCUCGGUGUAGAGGUGAAAUUCGUAGAUAUCGAGAGGAAUACCGGUGGCGAAGGCGGCCAACUGGACAGAUACUGACGCUGAGACACGAAAGCGUGGGGAGCAAACAGG
rnacentral:rRNA from 1 species